CUCAGACUUCAGAGGUAACUCAAAUAUAUCUGUAAGAAACCAUGGGAUGUCCUAUCCUAAGGAGCUCAGUGAAUCAAGGACAUUUUAAGCACUUUUAAAUCAGGGCUAAGUCAGUAAUCUCAAUUCUGUACAGAUUCAUGGUUUAGUUUGUCAUCCUCUUCUCCCAUAUCCUCAACAGGAAAAGCCACUGAGACAAAAAUCACAAACUGUCCAUUUGAUUCUCUUGCAGUUCUCCUUGCCAGCCAAACAGGACUCCAGGGAAGAGGGGUCUUACCCUCUACUGCAACUAUCGAGGCUUAAUGCACCCGUGGAAGUGAAAGGCCUGAGAAAGAAGUCAGAAUCUAACCCCAAAGACAGGAAUCCAUUAUUUAAGAAAGGCUGGGCUGAAGACUCGGUGGAACAAAAUAAAAAGGUUCUAGAAGAAAAAUUGAGAAGAG
rnacentral:lncRNA from 1 species